AUUUUUCCUUCAAGUCUAUUCAAAUUUAUCUUUAAUACUUUUCAGGGUGAUCCUGGAAUUGAAGGUCAGAUUGGACGACUUGGUCCAAAGGUUUGCUAAAACCAGUGAGGUGAGGGUUUUUGGUGCUGUAACCUGUGAGGUUUGAUCGGUGCAUUUGUGUGUAUCCUCAGGGGGAUGUUGGGUUGAAAGGUGAUAAGGUGAGAUAUGUCUUCUAGUUUAGUAAAUCUUUGUCAAACAGAAUAGGAUGCUGAUAGGUUUGAUCUCUUUCAACAGGGUGAAGUUGGUGUAGGCGGAGCAAAGGUAUUGUGGGGCUAGCAUCCAUGUUUUUCAUGUUAUUCUGAAGCUACAUUGUGUUGCUGCUUGUGUUUAUCCUUUGUCUCCUUGCAUCACAAACCCUUAGGGUGUGGCAGGCGUACCAGGAAAAAAUGGAGUUCACGGACAAAAGGGUACAAUGGGCAGAAUUGGAGCUCCUGGCUGCAAAGGUGAUCCAGGCAAUGAGGGACCAGAGGGCUACCAAGGAGAAGCUGGUGAGACCGGUCCUCAAGGAUCCAAUGG
rnacentral:lncRNA from 1 species